rnacentral:rRNA from 1 species
GGCGAACGGGUGAGUAACACGUGGGUGAUCUGCCCUGCACUUCGGGAUAAGCCUGGGAAACUGGGUCUAAUACCGGAUAGGAGCCAUUUUUAGUGUGAUGGUUGGAAAGUUUUUCGGUGUAGGAUGAGCUCGCGGCCUAUCAGCUUGUUGGUGGGGUAAUGGCCUACCAAGGCGGCGACGGGUAGCCGGCCUGAGAGGGUGGACGGCCACAUUGUGACUGAGAUACGGCCCAG